GUGGGGAAUAUUCCGCAAUGGACGAAAGUCUGACGGAGCAACGCCGCGUGAGUGAUGAAGGUUUUCGGACUGUAAAGCUCUGUUGUUUAGGACGAAAGUGCCUGUUGCAAAUAGUUACAGGUAUUGACGGUACUGAACGAGGAAGCCACGGCUAACUACGUGCCAGCAGCCGCGGUAAUACGUAGGUGGCAAGCGUUGUCCGGAAUUAUUUGGCGUAAAGAGCAUGUAGGCGGGCAUCUAAGUCUGUUGUGAAAAUGCGGGGCUCAACCCCGGAUUGAGAUGGAAACUGGGUUGCUUGAGUGCAGGAGAGGAAAGGGGAAUUCCCAGUGUAGCGGUGAAAUGCGUAGAUAUUGGGAGGAACACCAGUGGCGAAGGCGCCUUUCUGGACUGUGUCUGACGCUGAGAUGCGAAAGCCAGGGUAGCGAACGGGAUUAGAAACCCCAGUAGUCC
rnacentral:rRNA from 1 species